UCAGACGAUGCGUCAUGCAUAUCAAUAAGCGGAGGAAAAGAAACUAACAAGGAUUCCCCUAGUAACGGCGAGUGAAGCGGGAGGAGCUCAAAUUUGAAAUCUUAAAGGGUUUCCCUUUACGAAUUGUAGUUUAAAGAAGUGUUUUCUGUUGAGGUUUUGGUAAAAGUUCUUUGGAAUAGGACAUCAUAGAGGGUGAGAAUCCCGUAUUUGACCUUUACUUUCAACUUUGUGAUACACUUUCAAAGAGUCGGAUUGUUUGGGAAUGCAGUCCAAAAUGGGUGGUAAAUUUCAUCUAAAGCUAAAUAUUGGCGAGAGACCGAUAGCGAACAAGUACCGUGAGGGAAAGAUGAAAAGAACUUUGAAAAGAGAGUUAAACAGUACGUGAAAUUGUCAAAAGGGAAGCGUUUGACACCAGUGUUGUUUUUCUGAAAAUCAAUUAAAGAACUGUUUAUGCUAAGUUGUUUAGACUUUAUCAGCUAUCUGUUUAGUUUUGAGCUUUUCUUUAAUGCACUUUUCAGUUAACAAGUCAACAUCAAUUUCUUUUGCUGUAAAAAAGCUUGAGGAAGGUGGCUUGAGAUUCGUCUUAAGUGUUUAUAGCCUCUUGCCUAUGCAGUCGGAGAGAUUGAGGUCUGCAGCGUAGAUCCUUCGGGGCUAAAUGCAUUUGUGCUAAGUUAUAGCAUUUUAUAGACAACUUGUUGACUAUGAUUUGUCUUGUAGCUUACUCGCUUAUGUUAUUUUACCUACGCUUAGGAUGUUGACACACGCGCGUGCUCG
rnacentral:rRNA from 1 species